rnacentral:rRNA from 1 species
GACGAACGCUGGCGGCGUGCUUAACACAUGCAAGUCGAACGGAAAGGCCCUGCUUUUGUGGGGUGCUCGAAUGGCGAACGGGUGAGUAACAUGUUAGUAACCUGCCCUUGACUUUGGUAUAACUUCAGGUAACUGAGGCUAAUACCGGAUAGGAGCUCCUGCUGCAUGGUGGGGGUUGGAAAGUUUCGGCGGUUGGGGAUGGACUCGUGGCUGCUCAGCUUGUUGGUGGGGUAGUGGCUUACCAAGGCUUUGACGGGUAGCCGGCCGGAGAGGGUGACCGGCCACAUUGGAACUGAGAGACGGCCCAGACUGCUACGGGAGGCAGCAGUGGGGAAUAGUGCACAAUGGGCAGAAGCCUGAUGCAGCAACGCCGCGUGCGGGAUGACGGCCUACGGGUUGUAAACCACUGUCGCCGGGGACGAGGUGUGAGUGACGGUAAUGAGUAAAGAAGCACCGGCUAACUACGUG